rnacentral:rRNA from 1 species
GACGAAGGGGGCUAGCGUUGUUCGGAAUUACUGGGCGUAAAGCGCGUGUAGGCGGUUGUCGUAGUCAGGCGUGAAAGCCUUGAGCUCAACUCAAGAAAUGCGCUUGAUACUGGGCAGCUAGAGGACCGGAGAGGAUAGUGGAAUUCCCAGUGUAGUGGUGAAAUACGUAGAGAUUGGGAAGAACACCAGUGGCGAAGGCGGCUAUCUGGACGGUUUCUGACACUAAGACUCGAAAGCGUGGGGAGCAAACAGG